rnacentral:rRNA from 1 species
AACGAACGCUGGCGGCAUGCCCAACACAUGCAAGUCGAACGAGACCUUAGGGUCUAGUGGCGCACGGGUGCGUAACGCGUGGGAACCUGCCCUUAGGUUCGGAAUAACUCCCCGAAAGGGGUGCUAAUACCGGAUAAUGUCUUCGGACCAAAGAUUUAUCGCCUUUGGAUGGGCCCGCGUUGGAUUAGCUAGUUGGUAGGGUAAAAGCCUACCAAGGCGACGAUCCAUAGCUGGUCUGAGAGGAUGAUCAGCCACACUGGGACUGAGACACGGCCCAGACUCCUACGGGAGGCAGCAGUGGGGAAUAUUGGACGAUGGGCGAAAGCCUGAUCCAGCAAUGCCGCGUGAGUGAUGAAGGCCUUAGGGUUGUAAAGCUCUUUUACCCGGGAUGAUAAUGACAGUACCGGGAGAAUAAGCUCCGGCUAACUCCGUG